AACGAACGCUGGCGGCAGGCCUAACACAUGCAAGUCGAACGCCGUAGCAAUACGGAGUGGCAGACGGGUGAGUAACACGUGGGAACGUACCUUUCGGUUCGGAAUAACUCAGGGAAACUUGAGCUAAUACCGGAUACGUGCGAGAGCAGAAAGAUUUAUCGCCGAAAGAUCGGCCCGCGUCCGAUUAGCUUGUUGGUGAGGUAAUGGCUCACCAAGGCGACGAUCGGUAGCUGGUCUGAGAGGAUGAUCAGCCACACUGGGACUGAGACACGGCCCAGACUCCUACGGGAGGCAGCAGUGGGGAAUAUUGGACAAUGGGCGCAAGCCUGAUCCAGCCAUGCCGCGUGAGUGAUGAAGGCCUUAGGGUUGUAAAGCUCUUUGUCCGGGAAGAUAAUGACGGUACCGGAAGAAUAAGCCCCGGCUAACUUCGUGCCAGCAGCCGCGGUAAU
rnacentral:rRNA from 1 species